rnacentral:rRNA from 1 species
AGAGUUUGAUCCUGGCUCAGAACGAACGCUGGCGGCAGGCUUAACACAUGCAAGUCGAACGCGUGUAGCAAUACACGAGUGGCGCACGGGUGAGUAACACGUGGAUAUCUGCCUUUUGGUUCGGAAUAACCCUGGGAAACUAGGGCUAAUACCGGAUGGUUCCUACGGGAUAAAGAUUUAUCGCCAAAAGAUGAGUCCGCGUCCGAUUAGCUAGUUGGUGAGGUAAUGGCUCACCAAGGCGACGAUCGGUAGCUGGUCUGAGAGGACGAUCAGCCACACUGGGACUGAGACACGGCCCAGACUCCUACGGGAGGCAGCAGUGGGGAAUAUUGGACAAUGGGGGCAACCCUGAUCCAGCCAUGCCGCGUGAGUGAUGAAGGCCUUCGGGUUGUAAAGCUCUUUUGGCGGGGACGAUGAUGACGGUACCCGCAGAAUAAGCCCCGGCUAACUUCGUGCCAGCAGCCGCGGUAAGACGAAGGGGGCUAGCGUUGUUCGGAAUUACUGGGCGUANAGCGCGUGUAGGCGGUUGUUCAAGUCAGGUGUGAAAGCCUUGAGCUCAACUCAAGAAAUGCACUUGAUACUGGAUGAC